CUACAUUAAUGCCACAAAUACGCAAAUCCAAACCCUUUUGUGGAGCUUUGUGUCUUGAAGACUUGAUCUUUCCCUUACUUCUUAGUUGAGAGUAGUACUCCUCGUUGAGAGAUUCAAAGCCCCCCAUAAAACCGUUUAGCGAGUCAAAACCUCGAAACCCAUGAACCUGAUUUGGCUCUCGGCUCCCCCAUAAUGACUAACUCCUCGACCGCCGAUAACUCCAUGCAUAUCAAGGAGCUCUACCAGUACGUCGAGCGUCUCAAUGAGUCUACAGACAAGUCCCAGGUCCUCUUCCCCUUAUGGAAUCUUUUUUCCUUUUUGCUGUGUUUCCUAGUAGUGUUUCUACAACCCUAGCCUGCCCCGCGUUCCUCUAUGAGAUCGUUCUCCUCUUUUUGCACUACAGGAAAUUUUCCUUCUCGCGGGGAGCGAAAUCCCCGCAUUUCCCCUGUUUUCUCGCAGCAAAUUUUCAGAAACUGCGAUAAUUACUCUUCGCUAAUCGGUCGAAAGUAAAACGUCUGCUCAGUUGAUUUUCGGUGAUAAAUCAUCAGCGGCCGCAAUUGCUGCACCUAACUCGGCGGUUCAUCUCUCGCAGCAAAAUCGCAUUGCCAAUUUGGGAGAAGGGCAAUUACGGUGAUGAGGCGUCGCAAAUUUGGGGUGAUUUACGGCGAUUUUGCGGGUCCGUAAAAUCCAGAUUUCGGCGAAUUUGGGGCUGGCCGCAAAGAAGCGUUCUUCCCAAGGUUGCGGUGAAUUUAUAGACGCCGCAGAUUCAAGGAUUUUACAUACGGUGAAAGAUCGAGAUCCCCGCAAUUUUUUUUAUUCAACAUGCGGUGAAUUUGAUUAUGACGCCGCAAGAAGAUGGUGCUGAUCCAUACGGUGAAAUAGCGAGAUCCCCGCAUUUGGUUUUGAUUCUACAUGCGGUGAAUUAGAUUACCACGCCGCAAUCUCAGAUGGAUUUUACAUACGGUGAGCAUGUAUGGCGCAGGAAAUGCCAAUUAAUAUCACCGCGCGCUUGCUUACAAAUUUACAGCUGUACAGGCACAUAUGGGUUUUUGGGUAUGCGGUGAAUAAAUUAUAAGAACCCACUCGGUUUAUUAGAUUGAUGGGUUUUCUGAACGGUGGCUUCAAACAAUAGUUGAUCAGAGCAAAUUUAUGGGUUUUUGGGUUCACUGAUGCAGCACGUCGUUGCAGGAAUUUAUGGGUUUUUGGAUUCGCUGUCUUCAAUUUCUGCUUUACGUUAUUUAAAGCUGAUGUUCUUCACCCAGAGAAAGGCAGGGAAAGCAAUGGAAGACACAUGAAGGAUUUGGCCAUACUGGGCGAGCCAUGUAUUAUAGCUAGCACCAAGAUCCCACAAAAGUAGAUGAUCAGCAAUCCCACCAAAUCAAUCCCACCAAAAGAAGAUGAUCAUUUGACAGUUACGUAAUUUUUGUACGUACAGCUAAAUUACUUGUGUCUUCCAUGUAUAAAUCAUCUACUCAUGUAUAUAUGUGUAUGAGACCAUCAAUGAAAAAUAUACGGAAAUUAUUCUUCAA